rnacentral:rRNA from 1 species
GAGAACUGUCAUACCAUGCUAAAAACACCGGUCCAAUCCCUGAAGUUAAGCAGCAUUGGGUCUGGUUAGUACUUGGAUGGGUGACCGUCUGGGAAUCCCAGAUGCAGUUUUCU